GUUCGGCGUGCAGAAAUGGUGGCCGCGCAGACCGGAAACGGUCUAGAAUGUUCUGCGGCCUCCGGCUGGUGCAAGGCCGUCCUGGAGGCCCGAUCAGGACCAGGCCAGAGCGGGUACCUGGACAACAGGUAACUCAAGGCACUGGGAAAUAUCAGUAAACCUUCUCCCGAAAGCCCGAAAAUAGAGAUGCUGGAAAUGUUAAUGCAAAAGUGCUGGAAACAUUCAUUAGUCCUGAUGAAGGGUCUCGGCCCGAAACGUCGACUGUACCUCUUCCUAUAGAUGCUGCCUGGCCUGCUGUGUUCACCAGCAUUUUUUGUUGCAGGGAAACAUUCAGAGAUUUCUUUCAAUCAAAAGUCUUGACACAAUUUUUUGAACCUCGACUUCGGCUCAAAGUCAUUUUGCAGCAAGAUCAGUUCUUCCUCUAUCCUCGUUACAAGUGUUUAGGAAUGGAUUUAUUACCCAAUUUGGAAUUUGGAUUGAGAGAAGAUCCUGAAAUCUCUCAGACAUGUCAUUAUGCAAAUCAUGCAAGUGGGCAUAGUUUAUCAUCAUCUGGUAUUUCUUUCUCUUCCAAAUCAGAGAGGCUUGGAAGGUGGAAAAGGUCGUGUCAGCCAAUGUUGCACUUAAAUAGGAUUAACUUGGACAGAAAUAUGGAGAAGACUGAUUUGACUUUGAUAAUAUUCACAUAAUUUCCUUGCAAUUGAUCAGUUUCACUAAAUUUUAUGAAUAAUUCUGAAUAAGCAAUAUCAUGCCUAAUAUUCUUGAGUUUUAUCACAGUUUCAAAAAGCACAUAAAAGUGUCUCAGCAGUUUUCUUUUGAGAGCCAUCAGACUUCUGUAUGCAACAGCAAGCGCUUAAACUGUUUGUCAUUCUCAAUACAAAGCUCUUGAAAUAGUUGAGAAUUGACAGCAUGGCACUUGAUUUUAUUUACCAUUGUGAUAAUAAUAUUUAAUGAUUUGUGCAGCUUAUCAUAGUUCUUUUGUGACAAGAUGUUGACAGUGAAUGGUAAAUGGUAGGUAUGGCUUUUUUCAAGA